rnacentral:rRNA from 1 species
AUUGAACGCUGGCGGCAGGCCUAACACAUGCAAGUCGAACGAGUGGCGGACGGGUGAGUAAUGUCUGGGAACCUGCCCGAUGGAGGGGGAUAACUACUGGAAACGGUGGCUAAUACCGCAUACCAUCGGAUGUGCCCAUAUGGGAUUCGCUAGUUGGUGGGGUAAAGGCUCACCUAGGCGACGAUCCCUAGCUGGUCUGAGAGGAUGACCAGCCACACUGGAACUGAGACACGGUCCAGACUCCUACGGGAGGCAGCAGUGGGGAAUAUUCCACAAUGGGCGAAAGCCUGAUGCAGCCAUGCCGCGUGUAUGAAGAAGGCCUUCGGGUUGUAAAGUACUUUCAGCGGGGAGGCGGUACCCGCAGAAGAAGCACCGGCUAACUCCGUGCCAGCAGCCGCGGUAAUAC